GACGAACGCUGGCGGCGUGCUUAACACAUGCAAGUCGAACGAAGUGGCGAGCGUGAGAGUAACGCGUAUACAACCUGCCCUUCAGAGGGGGACAACAGUGGGAAACGACUGCUAAUACCGUAUACUGAAGGAGGUGAUUUAGUUUGAUUAGCUAGUUGGAGGGGUAACGGCCAACCAAGGCGAUGAUCAGUAGCCGGUCUGAGAGGGUGAUCGGCCACAUUGGGACUGAGACACGGCCCAGACUCCUACGGGAGGCAGCAGUGGGGAAUCUUCCGCAAUGGACGAAAGUCUGACGGAGCAACGCCGCGUGAGUGAUGACGGCCUUCGGGUUGUAAAGCUCUGUUGAUCGGGACGCGGUACCGAAAUAGAAAGCCACGGCUAACUACGUGCCAACAGCCGCGGUAAUUC
rnacentral:rRNA from 1 species